CGCCAUUACUAGUGCCGUGCGCCAUUGCUAACCCUUCCCCCACUAAAAAUUCUUCUAUCUUCCCAAUCUCUCUCACCCGACCCGCCCACCACGACCCGUACUGCGCCGCCGCCGCCUCCCCCGCUCCGACCCUCGCCCCGGCGGCGACGAGCCCUUCUGCCCCCACCAUCUCCGUCCUGUUCGAGGUGAGGCCCUCGCCCGGCCGCCCGGUCCUCCCCACCCCAAGGUCAGGGGCUCCGCCGUCAAGUUCCUCUCCCACCCCAAGGUCAGGGGCAAGCGGCUAGGGUUUCGCCCGCGUCGUCUCCCACCUCCCGUCCCCGCCCAGGCCGCCAUGUUCCAGCUAGGCUCCGCCCCCGGGAAGGGCUUCUGGGCGCGGCACCGGUGGAAGAUGCUCCUCUCGCUGGGCGUCGCCGGCGCCGGCUACAUGGCCUACCGCUUCUACGACGCGCACCAGAAGCAGCUCGUCCGGCUGGAGCAGCGCCGAGGAGGAGCGCGCCGCCGACGAGAUCAUCAAGAAUCAGUGAGCACAGAAAGCCAAACCACCACCAGAUUUGUUUUUCUUGUGUAUGUAUUGGUGGGUGAUGCAGGGUACCCUGUGAUGUGCUGCUUAUAGCAAUAUCGUCUUAGCGCUAGCAAACUACAGUAGUUCUGUGAUGCAGAGGAUCUCGGAUACAACCACUCUGCCAUUUGCUAUCCACUACCUACGUUCGCAGAUAAUGGAGGAGCUGGAUACUUCGCACCUGACCGAGAGGCUGCUGCAAGGGUGGAGCGGGCUGGACGACGCUGAAGUAGUCAUCUUCGUCGGCCCCGUCACUGCGUACGCAUACUCCUUCAAUUUUUCCCUCCUACUGUACGUAUGUACGAUAUUUUGGAAUGCAGCUCAAAGGAAUAGGAACGUUUCCCGCAAGAAAAAGGAAUAGGACUGUGCUCCUCCCAAAAGACAAAAGCAAGAACAAUAAAAAUCCAGCACCAACAAUGAAUCGCCGGAGUAAACAAAACAAGCAGACCAAAUCGUGUCGGCCCUCGAGGAAGGGUUGCACUGUCGAGGAGCAGCAGACAUGUAAAUCUGACUGCAAUUCAUGUCACGGUGGAUGGUUUGAGAGGAGGGAGGCAGAGCAGAGACAAACGGCGCAUUCUGUCAUGCAUGUGUGUGGAUUUGUAUCAUCCUACUACUGUGUUGCUUUGUUUUACUGUAAUAAAUAAAGAGAUGAAUCAGAUUUUCUUUGGUUCGUUAGCAAAAUUUUACACAUCAAGUAUUUGAUCUCAGAUCUUCUAUUUCGGUUUGGUAUAUGAGCCUUUUGCCCAUAGACUAACAUGUCCCUUAACCUGUCUACUUGGUGAUACUUUUCUGUAUCAGCAAGUAGUUACGGAUUGAACAACCAGUUACUGAUUAUGCCUCAUCUCAAUGCAUACUAACUUUCUAUGAGUACCUGGUUUGCUGCAGCCCUUUUUCCCAUAGACUAAUAUAUGCACUUUCUUUUAGAAUUGAGCAUACCCUGCUUGUCAUUAGCACUCUCGUUACAACAUCUACAUCUCUCUUUACACAAGAUUACCUGUUUCAUACUUUCCAGUAAUGAUCAUCCUCAUCCACCCAUACGUCGUCUAGACAAUUAUUAGAGCAUUUCUUUCACAACGUAAAGCAUCGGCAAAAAACAUCAAAAUAUAGCGUACUAACUUGGCGUUGGUUUCCUUAUCUACUGUUCCGUACAUAUACAACCAAUGUCUUUGAGUGACCUUUUUUUAUUAUCUGAUAUUGCAUACUUCGAUAUCGCCUGUUGAUAUGCCUUCGAAUGUAAACGUCUAACUACUUUAUCAUCCCCAACAUCCAGGGUGUGUAGACAGGACUGAUGUUGCUCAAAUGCGAGCAUAUGUGCCCGUGUUGAAGGAGUUUUGCCCUCUGUCUAUGACUCAAGUGUCAAUGAUGCCUCUCCAUAUUAUCGCUACCAUGUCUUAUUUGUUUUGGUUGCUCAGCAAAUGUUUUGCUGUACAAGAAUUAGACGACACUGGACCUGUAUAAUUAUGGGCUACUCAUGCAGUUUAUUAUUUAAGUUUCGAAUGAUGUUAUCUGUUUC